rnacentral:misc_RNA from 1 species
CUCUACAGUUUGAGCACAGCUCAGUUGCACCGGUCGACUGCCCGAUCCUUCUCGGUUCAACGCAGACUCCACUUCUUGAGCAGGCACGUGAAGACCUUGGUGAACCUCCUGGACCCUGACCUGCACAGUCGUGGCUUUUUGCCGCCGCCGCUCGGCUUACUGGGCGCGGCGGCCGGCAACACGGCCAGCGCCAUCUCUUCCUCUUCCUCCUCCCGCUGCUGCUGCACGGCCGCCCGGCUCGCCACCUCGUGCAGCUCCACCCGCGGCUGCAUCUCCUCCAGCUCCAGCUCCCGCUGCCGCUGCUCCCGGAACAGCCUCAGCAGCCGCUGCGCCUUGUCCCGGGCCCUGGCCGUGCCGUUGGCCGUCACGGACACCAGCGCCGGGAUCACGCCCUCCUGGAGCACUGUCUGGCUGCUGCCCUCGUCGCCACUGCAGAUCACAUACAGGCACGACACGGCCUUCUCCUUCUCCCCCGGCUCGCCGUUGUCCACGAUGAGCACGAUGGCGCCCACCAUGGCCGCGCUGGCCGCGAUCUCCUCCUUGCCUCUCCGGGUCAGCGCCAGGUUCAGCAGGACCGCUAGGGCCUUGUCCGUCCACGGGGAGGACGGCACCAGCACGCGGCGGAGGUUCUCGAUGAUGCCGGACGCCAUGAGGGGUGGGAUGUUGGGCGCGUGCAGGGACAGGUUGUACAGGGUGAGCAGCGCGUCCAUGCGGCAGGUGUCGCUCCGGGGGCCACCUUCCCCUAGGCUGUUGACGAGGAAAUGGAUGGCGACGCUCGAGCCGAUGAUCGCCUGUGCCUCGGGGAUGCAGGAGAGGUUCAGGUACAUUGCGAUGGCAGCCUCGCAGGUUUCAUGUUUCUGUAUCAUCUGUUCCAUCAGCGGGAUGACUCCAGCUGACAGGAGCAGUCUCUUGUUCCUGAUAACAAAUGAUGGAUAAGCAGUUGAGAAUUGAGAUCCGCCAUAGUGGUACUGCUACACGGGG